GUAGCUCAGCUGGAUAGAGUAUUGCCCUCCGAAGGCAAGGGUCGUGGGUUCGAAUCCCGCC
rnacentral:tRNA from 1 species